UUGACCUCGGAUCAGGUAAGGUAUACCCC
rnacentral:rRNA from 1 species